CCUACGGGAGGCAGCAGUGAGGAAUAUUGGUCAAUGGGCGAGAGCCUGAACCAGCCAAGUCGCGUGAGGGAAGACGGUCCUAUGGAUUGUAAACCUCUUUUGCCGGGGAGCAAAAAGCGGUACGUGUACCGCAUCGAGAGUACCCGGAGAAUAAGCACCGGCUAACUACGUGCCAGCAGCCGCGGUAAUACGUAGGGUGCGAGCGUUAAUCGGAAUUACUGGGCGUAAAGGGUGCGCAGGCGGUUGAGUAAGACAGAUGUGAAAUCCCCGAGCUUAACUCGGGAACGGCAUAUGUGACUGCUCGA
rnacentral:rRNA from 1 species